rnacentral:miRNA from 1 species
CGAUUCACCUUCUUCAGUCUGC